rnacentral:lncRNA from 1 species
AGUCUAAAUUUCUUGAUUGGACUCCCAUCAGGCCCUAGAUAAGAAGCCAGCCUAUCUACAAGGACCAACAGAGUUGCACCAGGGGACUGUCUACUGAAGCAUGCCCACAUCAUCUGGAUCCAGGAUCGAAGGGGAACCAGAAGAUGGUUAUAACCAUCCUCAAAUCAUCCACCAGAGAUAAGCAAAGCCAAGAAGAUGCCUCAGCUGGAUCUCUGUUACUGAUGACAAGCUCCCAGUACCUAUGAAUGUGACCUUAUUUUGAGGUAGAAUUUUACAGAAGU